AGGGAAUAAGAGUACUAUAGGAUUCAAUUUAAUAUUUCCAACUAGUAAAAAAGGGGUGAAAGGUGCUUGAAAGAAAGCAAAAAAUCAAAGCUUUGACAUGGCUCUUAUGAAUAUAAAACUUGGGAGGGAAUAAAAUUAUUAUAGGAUUUACUAGAAAGGCCUGCAAAGUCUCCAGAUGGCAGCAGCCCGAGACUCCUGUUUUUUCCUCCUGCCUUCAACUUCAUGUCAUCUAUAUGAAUACUACAAACAGAGAAAGACAAAAAUUAUUUUAAACAAUUCAAUUUUUUAUAAUCAGAUAUAUGUAUUCAAGUAACCAAAAACCCUCUAACCAUUGAUCAUGAAUC
rnacentral:lncRNA from 1 species